UACGGGGAGUGCAAGCGUUGUUCGGAAUUAUUGGGCGUAAAGCGCGUGUAGGCGGCCUAGAAAGUCCGGAGUGAAAGCCCUCGGCUCAACCGGGGAAGUGCUUUGGAAACUGCUAGGCUUGAGUCCUGGAGGGGCGGGUGGAAUUCCCAGUGUAGAGGUGAAAUUCGUAGAUAUUGGGAGGAACACCAGUGGCGAAGGCGGCCCGCUGGACAGUGACUGACGCUGAGACGCGAAAGCGUGGGGAGCAAACAGG
rnacentral:rRNA from 1 species